UCUUGGCCUCCCAAAGUGCUGGGAUUACAGGCGUGAGCUACCGUGCUCAGCCAAUGUACAGAUUUUUCUAUUUAUCAACUUUUAUUGUUCAAUUUUAGUCAUUCUCUAUUAACUUCCUGCUAUUUAUACCACCCAAAUGCCUUUCCCAUGCCUCCAAUAUAGCCAUGUCACUAAUUAUAUAUCCUCUAUUCCUUAUCUUUCUACCUUUAACUAAUAGACUUACUCUCCCUUUUCUCUCUUGUAACUUGUCAUCUACACUUUUACUUUUAUAUUAACAAGGUUAAUAAUAUUUACACUCUGUUUUAUAACCAUAAUUAAGUCAUCCGUACUUUGCCAGUAGGUCAUUCUAAAAGUUUAAGGGCAAUAAAGUGUUUACAUUAUGAUGAUGAUGUAAAUGUUGUUCCAGAAAGAUCCAAUUAGUAUAUUAGGAUUACAUUGCUUUUCUUAUACAGCUUUUUUUCCUUAGUUUCUAAUUGUCUUUCUUUUUUUCCUUGCAUUGUCUGACUUUAUCACCUUCUUAAGUUAUUCCAAAUUCUCAAGGAAAGUAUAAAAUCAUUUGAAUCCCCUUUUUUCCCAGAUACCUUCUUCCUGGAGUCCUCCGUCUUCCUGUUCCAAUUUGGACUGAUUGCUCUGUAGGCCUGCGGUGCAGCUGUCAUCCUGGGACGUCCCUUCAUUAUUCUGGGUUGGACCCAAUCUUUCUUGGACCCCAUAUCUUCCUCUUUCUUAGUUUACUCCCUUGUAGUGGACAUUGUAGUUGUUCUGCAGCAUCCGUUCCACUCCUCUCCCGCUGUGUAACAACUAUGGGAUGUGAGUGGGAUUCACCCCACCACCAGCUCUAGGUGUAGGCCUUUAUUGGUAUAAACUGAUCUGAGUAAUUUCACCCUCCUAGCCACAGUGAUGACUGGUUCAGGGAUGACCCAAUCACAAUGAGGCUUAGGACUUUUAUUCAGCUUUUGAGGGAGGAGAUGACCUAUCUUCCCUUGGAUAAGAACAAAGAAGCAUGUAGCCUGGUUGCUGCUGUUAGCCAUCUUGUGAACAUGUGGAAGGCCUACCUGAGGAUGGAGCUGAAAAAUGGAGGAGGCGGAGCCAAGAGAAUCACAGAAAUGGAACCAUAUUCCGGAUCAUGCCAUGCCUGAAGUCUCCCUGCCUGUGGACUCUUCAGUUAAUCAUGCCGUCUGGAGCUGUGAUAGCCAUCUUGUGACCAUGUGGGGAUGAGCACGAGGAAGAAGACAACAUGUGAAGGGAGCAAGUCAGAAAGAGCCCAAUUUCUUGAUGGCAUCAUUGAUCAGCUGAACCCGUGCCACAGUUCCUGUUAACUGAAAAAAUAAAUAAAGCCAUAUGUGUUUAAGCUACUAUCA